rnacentral:lncRNA from 1 species
GACCUUCUGCAGCAUCAAUGUCUCUCUGCAUUCUAAUGUAUCCAUCCUCACCCCAGCUAGUGCCCCAUGAAUUCUUCACCAACCAAUACUUGGUCCCGUCUUCAGCUUCUCCAUAGCCAACUGCUGUAACCCCAUGGUCAAGGAAGGUGGUGCAUUCGCCAGUGAAGACACCACUUUUGUAGUGUUGGAAGUCAGACCCACCAGCAUCAAUGGCAACUGAAACCGGCUGGUUGGCCACAGCUUUUAACAGUGCUGACUCGCUGUUUGAAGGUACGUCUUCAUAACCAGUGAUCUUGACAGCAUGGUUGGCUGAUUUUUUCUUGUUGCAGCUUCCAUCAACU